GGGCGGUUAGCUCAGUUGGUAGAGCAACUGGUUUACACCCAGUAGGUCAGAAGUUCGAGUCUUCUACCGCCCACCA
rnacentral:tRNA from 1 species